AGCUUUGCGCAGUGGCAUUAUCGUAACCAAUGAGGUUUAUCCGAGGUGCGAUUAUUGCUGGUAGACGGACAAAUUGAUUUUAAGCAUACCGCUUGGUUAAAGUUCGGCACCCCUCCCACGUGG